rnacentral:rRNA from 1 species
ACGCUCGACACCUACGGAGGCAGCAGUGGGGAAUAUUGGGCAAUGGGCGCAAGCCUGACCCAGCAACGCCGCGUGAAGGAAGAAGGCUUUCGGGUUGUAAACUUCUUUUCUCAGGGACGAAGGAAGUGACGGUACCUGAGGAACAAGCCACGGCUAACUACGUGCCUGCAGCCGCGGUAAUCUGAGCGGGCUGGCAAGGC